UGACUAAGGGCUCAGUUGGUAGAGUGCUUGCCUAGCAUGCACAAGGCCCUGGGUUCAAAUCCCAGCAUUAACUAA
rnacentral:tRNA from 1 species